rnacentral:rRNA from 1 species
GGCUCAGGAUGAACGCUAGCGACAGGCCUAACACAUGCAAGUCAGGGGCAGCACAAGGAGCAAUCUGAGGUGGCGACCGGCGCACGGGUGAGUAACACGUAUGCAACCUGCCUGUAAGCGGGGAAUAACCCGUUGAAAGACGGACUAAUACCGCAUAAUACUAAAUUACUGCAUGGUAAUUUAUUUAAACAUUUAUGGCUUACAGAUGGGCAUGCGCAUGAUUAGCUAGUUGGAGAGGUAACGGCUCCCCAAGGCAACGAUCAUUAGGGGUUCUGAGAGGAAGGUCCCCCCACACUGGUACUGAGACACGGACCAGACUCCUACGGGAGGCAGCAGUGAGGAAUAUUGGUCAAUGGACGAGAGUCUGAACCAGCCAAGUCGCGUGCAGGGAGAAUUGUCCUAUGGAUUGUAAACUGCUUUUGCAGGGGAAUAAAGUGCAUCACGUGUGAUGUUUUGUAUGUACUCUGCGAAUAAGGAUCGGCUAACUCCGUGCCAGCCGCGGC